rnacentral:rRNA from 1 species
GAUGAACGCUGGCGGCGUGCCUAAUACAUGCAAGUCGAGCGAACAGAUGAGGAGCUUGCUCCUCUGACGUUAGCGGCGGACGGGUGAGUAACACGUGGAUAACCUACCUAUAAGACUGGGAUAACUUCGGGAAACCGGAGCUAAUACCGGAUAAUAUAUUGAACCGCAUGGUUCAAUAGUGAAAGACGGUUUUGCUGUCACUUAUAGAUGGAUCCGCGCCGCAUUAGCUAGUUGGUAAGGUAACGGCUUACCAAGGCAACGAUGCGUAGCCGACCUGAGGGGGUGAUCGGCCACCUUGGAACUGAGACACGGACCAGGCUCCUACGGGAGGCAGCAGUAGGGAAUCGUCCGCAAUGGGCGAAAGCCUGACGGAGCAACGCCGCGUGAGUGAUGAAGGUCUUCGGAUCGUAAAACUCUGUUAUUAGGGAAGAACAAAUGUGUAAGUAACUAUGCACGUCUUGACGGUACCUAAUCAGAAAGCAACGGCUAACUACGUG